UUUAUUGGAGAGUUUGAUCCUGGCUCAGGACGAACGCUGGCGGCGUGCCUAAUACAUGCAAGUCGAGCGAACAAAGAGGAGCUUGCUCCUCGAUGUUAGCGGCGGACGGGUGAGUAACACGUGGGCAACCUGCCUGUAAGACUGGGAUAACUUCGGGAAACCGGAGCUAAUACCGGAUAAUGCUUUUGAACUCAUGUUCGAAAGCUGAAAGAUGGUUUCGGCUAUCACUUACAGAUGGGCCCGCGGCGCAUUAGUUAGUUGGUGAGGUAACGGCUCACCAAGGCAACGAUGCGUAGCCGACCUGAGAGGG
rnacentral:rRNA from 1 species